GACGAACGCUGGCGGCGUGCCUAAUACAUGCAAGUAGGACGCAGUUGCGAACGGGUGAGUAACGCGUAGGUAACUACCUAUUAGAGGGGGAUAACUAUUGGAAACGAUAGCUAAUACCGCAUACUAGUAGAUGGACCUGCGUUGUAUUAGCUAGGAGGUAGGGUAAUGGCCUACCUAGGGAACGAUACAUGGCCGAGCUGAGAGGGUGAGCGGCCACAACGGGACUGGGACACGGCCCAGAAUCCUACGGGAGGCAGCAGGAGGGAAACAUCGGCAAAGGGGGGAAACCUGACCGAGAAACGCCGCGUGAGUGAAGAAGGUUUUCGGGUCGUAAAGCUCUGUUGUUAAGGAAGCGGUACUUAACCAGAAAGGGACGGCUAACUACGUGCCAGCAGCCGCGGUAAUUC
rnacentral:rRNA from 1 species